GUGGCUAUAGCUCAGUUGGUUAGAGCGUCGGAUUGUGAUUCCGAAGGUCGAGGGUUCGAGCCCCUUUAGCCACCC
rnacentral:tRNA from 2 species